ACUCCUACGGGAGGCAGCAGUGGGGAAUAUUGGACAAUGGGCGAAAGCCUGAUCCAGCCAUGCCGCGUGUGUGAAGAAGGUCUUCGGAUUGUAAAGCACUUUAAGUUGGGAGGAAGGGCAGUAAGUUAAUACCUUGCUGUUUUGACGUUACCAACAGAAUAAGCACCGGCUAACUUCGUGCCAGCAGCCGCGGUAAUACGAAGGGUGCAAGCGUUAAUCGGAAUUACUGGGCGUAAAGCGCGCGUAGGUGGUUCAGCAAGUUGGAGGUGAAAUCCCCGGGCUCAACCUGGGAACUGCCUCCAAAACUACUGAGCUAGAGUACGGUAGAGGGUAGUGGAAUUUCCUGUGUAGCGGUGAAAUGCGUAGAUAUAGGAAGGAACACCAGUGGCGAAGGCGACUACCUGGACUGAUACUGACACUGAGGUGCGAAAGCGUGGGAGCAAACAGGAUUAGAUACCCUGGUAGGAUAGCG
rnacentral:rRNA from 1 species